UUAAAUGCUGAAGGUUUCGUUUAUGUAAAGGUCUUUCAGAUAUGUAUGAGUUUCUCCCUCACUAUUGCACCAUUAAAUUUAUCGAUUAGUGCUUGUCUAAAAGAUUAUGUCAAUGCCCCAUGAUAUUUGGAUAUCAAAGCAUAAAACAUACUUCUCUACAUGAGAACUUAUCUCCAAAGAUAUCUGAUUUUGGACUUGCCACGUUGAGUUCCAAGAAGAUCUUCUUCUCUCUGUGCCAAGAAGAUCUUCUUCUCUAUCUAAUGCUAAAGGGACCAUAGAGGAUAUGUAGCUCCGGAAGUGGCGAAUAAAGAUCGUUUUGAUGGAAUUUCAGAAAAAGCAUAUGUUCAUAGCUUGGUAUAGUGCUAUUAUUUCCCUCGUGUGGCAUACAAAAAGUUUGAGAGAGGCAAAAGUCUUCAAAUGAUACACCUACCAUCCGAAGUGGCUGAAAGACAGCGUGGAUUCCAUAACUAAGCCACCAAAUGAGCUCUUCUCCUAAGUCUGGAAUUUUUUCUGUAUGUAAUUCCAAUGUGACUAACUAUGACAAAAUAGUUUAAGCAUAUAUGAGAAUUAAGUGGGAAUUCCACAUUGUAAAUUAAUUUUGUUGGGAAAUAAUCUCUGUUGGGGAAGAUGCUGCAACUCUUGAAUUGAUGAAGAUCUUGAUGACAGGAGCACUUGAAGAUUCAAAGCGUGCCUAAGCACUAACCUUUAGGUUCAAUUCGCCCCCACCAAUUAAUGUAUAUUGGAUGCAAUUGAGAUAAACCGGCGAAUUCCCUUCAAGAUACUUUGAAUUCCUUGAUGUGGUUUGCACUAACACACCAAGCGUAUCUUUGAUAAUAUUUUACAGAAGUAUGAUUCACACACUUCACUCAUGCAUUAGUGAAAUGGAGGAUGAUUUGGAAUAAUGGAAAUGGAAGAGAAAUUUGUAUGAAAGAUACAAAUUUCGCACUUCUCAAUGUUCUGGUUUUUCUGCCCAAGUAUCUCUUUAUAUAGAGAUAUUAACAUCCCUUGGUGAAAAGAAAUCUUUUGGUAAAAGGUUUCUCAAAAACCCACAUAUACAAUUAAUGUUCAGAAAUAUUACCAACCAACACGUUGGUCUGCUUGGCAACGCAUCCCUUGGCAAUGCAAGUCACGCCUCGCGGGUUCAACUCCCAGGGACGUGACUUCAAAACGUAACCACCAGGAGGAUUCGAACCCGUACAACAUAUGUGUCAUAGCAUGAUGACUACUAGGGGUGUACAAGACCCGGCCCUACCAGCCAACCUGUCCCGACCCAAUCAAUAAAAGAGACCGGGUUCGGGUUGAUCUUAGAGUUACCCGACUUCGGAUAGGGUCGGGUUCGGGUUGACACUCGGGUCACCCGACCCGUCCCACAUAUAUAUUUUAUAAAAUUUUAAUUUAUUAUAAUGAUUAAAAUGUAUACAUGGUGCUCAAAUUUAUCUUAUCAUGUGGAUGAGAAUAAAAUGUUUAACAUCUACCUUAUGAAUUCGUUGAUCAAACUAUGGAUACUUUCAUGCUCUAACAAGAGAAAAUCAUUUGUGUAUUAUGCACAUGUGAGACAAGUGAAGAUAUGAAAGAAUUUGAUCCUUUCAAGUUCUUUUUUCCAAAAAAUAGUUCCAACUUAUAACUCUUUUAAUAUGUUAUUAUCUUUAAAUUUUACAAUUAGUAUCAAAUAAUCUUAGACUUAUUGUCCAUCGGGCCAACCCGGUCCCGUCCUACAUAGGCCCGUCCUAAAUUGGACCCGCAUAAUGUCGGGUUGCUUCGGGUCUAGGGACGGGUUAGGGUCUAUGAAUUGACCCGUUAAAUAUUUAGGGUCGGGUUAGGGUUAACCAAAACCCGUCCCAACCCGUCCCUUGUACACCCCUAAUGACUACCCAUUGGACCAUCUUACUAUAUUGAUAUAUUCUCAAACAUAAAUAAUAUAACCAAUAAUCAAAUACAUAUUUCCAAGUUUACAUAUUUUGGAAAUAUUUCUCACAAAUUUUUCCAUUGUAUCUUUGACAUGACAAUGACAGAUACUCUAGUUUAUUGUUAGCAUCCAAUCUUU